rnacentral:lncRNA from 1 species
GCGGUGUAUGCUUUCUUCUUCUUCUUCAGUUUGAGCAUACUUUUGAAUUUGAAUCAAUAUUUGGUCACAAGUGUCCCGGUAAUUCUUGCUGAGAGAAAAAAUUAGGCGAUUGUUUCGAAGUCCUCACUUCAAAGUAGCCAUUGCAAUGGAUUCAUAGAAGUUUUUUACUUCCAAUGUGCUGGUGUUGAAACAUACAAUAUAUUCUCGAAGAGACU